rnacentral:rRNA from 1 species
CCUACGGGCGGCAGCAGUGAGGAAUAUUGGUCAAUGGCCGGAAGGCUGAACCAGCCAAGUCGCGUGAGGGAAGAAGGCCCUAUGGGUCGUAAACCUCUUUUGUCAGGGAGCAAAGGCGUCCACGCGUGGACUUGCGGAGAGUACCUGAAGAAAAAGCAUCGGCUAACUCCUUGCCAUCAGCCCCGGUAAUAAGGAGGAGGCGAGCGUUAUCCGGAUUUAUUGGGUUUAAAGGGUGCGUAGGCGGAGUAUCAAGUCAGCGGUAAAAUUUCGGGGCUCACCCCCGUCGUGCAGUUGAAACUGGCGGCCUUGAGUGAGUGAGAAGUAAGCGGAAUGCGUGGUGUAGCGGUGAAAUGCAUAGAUAUCACGCAGAACGCCGAUUGCGAAGGCAGCUUACCGGCGCUCAACUGACGCUGAGGCACGAAAGUGCGGGUAUCGAACAGGAUUAGAUACCCCUGUAGUC